rnacentral:SRP_RNA from 1 species
GCCGACGGGGGCGCGGUGCCUGUAGUCCCAGCUAUUCAGGAGGCUGAGGCUGGAGGAUCCUGAGUCCAGGAGUUCUGGGCUGUAGUGCGCUACGCCGAUCGGGGUCUGCACUAAUUCUCGCAUCAAUAUGGUGACCUCCCGGGAGCGGGGGACCACCAGGUUGCCUAAGGAGGGGUGAACUGGCCCAGGUUGGAAACAGAGCAGGUCAAAACUCCCGUGCUGAUCAGUAGUGGGAUCGCAGCUGUGAAGAGCCACUGCACUCCAGCCUGGGCAACAUAGCAAGACACUGUCUCU